GCCUCCUUAGCUCAGUUGGUAGAGCGCUCGCCUUGUAAGCGAAUGGUCGCCGGUUCGAAUCCGGCAGGAGGCU
rnacentral:tRNA from 1 species